CUACAUUGACUGUCUCUUGGAGAAGAAAUGCCUCCAACAUGAAAAGCUUUUACAGAGACGAGUGCUCUAAGUUUGGUUGAUUUGAUGAUUCCUAGAAAGGUCAGGAAUUGCAGGUUUGCAUUAUUCUUUGACGUCUGCAAAGGUUAGCUGCCUCGAAAGCAAGGAUUUUUCGUCAUCGUCAUCCAAGUCGAUGCUUUCGUCCAUUCCGUAAUUAAUGUCAAUCACGCUCCUCUCCUUCUCAUAACUGCUGCUCGACUUUGACAUAUCAAGGCCGUCCAGAUUUUCUUCUGAGUGAGGGCUAUCGACCUCCAUCUGCUGCAUUUCCGAUUCAAUCAGCGCAGUCAUUCUUGCACGGUCUCUAUCUCUCGGGUAUGUGCAGUAGAGAAAAGAGUAAAUAAGGCAACAGAUCAUCAUUGGGAUUCCAAUAGCUGUGUAAAGGGCUUUUGCAAGCGAUGCAGCGUUUUCCCUAUCUGUUUCUAUCUCUUCAGAGUUGGAUGAUCCCUUGGGAAUUGGCUUAUACCCGUAUACAUGCUGAGCCAGAAUCCCAACCACUGGGGGAGCGAAUGAUGCCAGGACGGACUCAAAAGAGCGAUCCAGUGCAUAGAUGCUUGUUCUGGAUUUCUCAGGGACUAUCUCUGCAAAUAUUGGACUGUGCACUGCGUUUAUAUUUGCAAGAAAUCAACUGGAGAAGUACUUUAGCAACUAAAGCUGCUAAUUUGGCACACAGAAUUGCAAUAAGUGCAGUGCAACAAAGGGGAAGCACCAUUGAAAACAUAGUCUAUUCAGACAAGCAAUAUAUUGAGAAACCAAUUUCCUACAAGAAGAGGUAAUAGGAUGUACUUAUUACACUUACUUGUUCGUAGCUGGGCCAUUCCAGGAUAUGACCAGACCCAUGAUGAACAGAACCAGACCGUGCAUGAAGGCUGUCGAAGGGUUGUCAGGCAAUGCCAGGAGCAAGACCGCAGCUAAAGGAAUCGCCAAACCAGAACUUAUCUGCGACAGAAUUAUUCUACCCGAGUUGGGCAAGCGUUUGGCAAGAAUAUCCCCCAUGUAGCCUCCGAAGAGACCACCAAGUGAACCAGCAAUAAUGAAGAUUGUCGUGAGGAAUGCUGUUGUAUUGUGAGUGAAGCCAAUGAGUUCCAACCACAUUGCAGUAAAUGAAAGAGCUGACCAUGGGAAUGACCCAGACACGCCCUGAGCCACUAUUAUCUGAAAAGACGGGAUCCUCAUCACAGAUUUUGCUUCUUUAACCAGGUCUUUGAGCUCUGACCAGAAGGACUUAUGUGAAUUCAGAUCUUCAGCUUGAUUUAUGUCAUCAGAAUGUCGAGGAUCAAUAGCAAAGAAACGCACCAAAAUACCAACGACAACGCUUACGAUGGCGACCAGGUGAAAAGCAAUUCUCCAACCAGGAAUUCCCAGGAAGGAUGUUGAGGCAAUUAAAACAGAACACAGCGAUCCAAUGAUGGAGCCAAUGUUGCCUGUUAGCUGCAGCCAUCCAAAUGCCAUCCCACGGUUGCUAUCGUCUGUAGAGUCCGCAACAAGAGACAGAACUGCGGGUAUUACUAUUGCAAGUCCAAUCCCAUUCAAGCCUCUUGAAAUCGCUACCUGGAAAAGAAAAGGGAGAUGAUACUAAGAAAGAAAAGGUACAUCAUGAUUGCAUACACAAAUUCUUAGACAACAGGCCUUCUUUCAGAUAGUGACAAUUUGAACUCAGAAAGCGAAGAUUUGGAGGCAGUUAACAACUAUAGUCAUUUAUUUCUUUACUUCAGAUUUGAUAACCACUUAAUUUUGUGCGUUUGAGUCGCUGCCAUUUCCUCCUAAAUAUAAUGAUAUCAUGGACACAAUAGAUCAACGCCAACUCAUUUAAAUCUCUGUCAAAGAGUUUCCUUCAGAUGACCUCGUAUGCAGUCAUGGUUCAUAUAACACACUUCUAGCAACCUAAUUGUAUCUAGUGAAUGCUGGAAGCUUUUACAUCUUCUCUUCCUUCCUGAUUCUUUUCAGAGCUCGUUACAGGUAAACUUUGCUCAAGUCUCAAACUCUGCAUGCAUACGCAAUUUUUUUGGAAGAGGGUUUGCAUUUGGCAAGUUCAAAGCAAAUGGUAAAUCGGAAUUCCUUUAAAUAUCAGUCUCAUUCAAUAACAGAUAAUAUAAAGCACUGCCACAUUUACUCGGUAUUGCUAAUAACAGAUGGUCAAUAAACCUAGAUCGAGCAGCAGCAUUACUCCACACGCUGCCCAGAUCAGCUCAGUUCCAUCACGCCGACAAAUUUUAAAGGGCAAACAACCGUGCCACAAGCUACGUAAUUACAUCAUCCGAGCAGAGUGCCAUAGUAGGGCAUUGGGAUACCAACCGCUAGUUGCAAUAUUCAAACUAUCCAGGUCUCUAGAACACGGAACAAGAAAUAAAAUGCUUCCAUUACUCAAACAUUAUACUAUGCUAAACUUCAAAUUUCAGUACCCUUUUACUAGGUCUUCAGAGAAACCUCAAUAAACAAAAGAACUAGACCAAAUCCACGUCUCCUUCCAACUGUCAUUCAAGAACAAGCAACUGAAAUAUAAAACGAGGAAAACGGAAAACAACCCAACCACCCACCCAUCAAACUAAACCCAACCCAAUCCCUCCCUCACCAAACUAAAUCCCACCCACGAAGAGAGAGAGAGAAGACCUGCAGGAAAGUGGAGGAAAUGGCGACGAGGAAAGUGGCGGCGGCCCAGAGGAAGGCGCCGAGGGCGAUGACGUGGGCACGGUUGUGGCGGGACGCGAGGUAAGCGGCGAGCGGAUAGCAAGCGGACUGGACGAUGGAUCGGAACAGGGUCAACGACCCGAGGGCCGUCGGAUCGGCGUGCAGGGCGGCGCCCACCUCCUUGUACACCCCCGGGAGCAGGGACUCGUCGGCCCUCUCCAUGAUGGACGCCAGGUUCACCAGCACCAGCGUCACCGUCUCCGACUUCAUCGCUCGCGCGUUCUUGCGCCGUUCCGAGAACGUGAGGCAGAUCGGAGACUUCUUCUUCGGUUUGACUGGCGUGUUCGUGGGGACUGUGGAGGAUUGAUUGGCUGCGGGAGGGCGUAUCGCGGGGGCUGCAGCCGAGCGUGGGGCGAAGACCGUACGAUCCGGAGGGCGUCCGGCAUGUGCGGACGAGAUAUCGUGGGAAGGGUCGAAGGAGUUGCUGGGGGAUUUUUGCCUUUCGGUGCGGGGAAGCAAAUUGAUAAGGACAACGUGCCGACCAUUUUCGGACAAGAAGCAUAUCUUUCUAUUAUGCUCGCCCAAUCAGGGCGCAUUGCUUCUUUCUGGGUUCUGUCCUAAAAUCUAUGGGACCCGAAAAUAGAUUUUCAAACAAGCAAUCGAGGUUUAUUCUUUUGAGACCCGACAUCGAUGAUCUGAUCGUUAAGGAUCUGUAUAAGUGUCGAUACAUCUACUUUUAAAAAUGGGGGCGAAAGACUACUGUGAAUUGUAUUACAUCUCACGUGGUGAAUAAACCGACUUUCUAUUUGACUAAAAAAGAACAAAUUGACCUUUUUAAUUAAGGUAGAUCAUAAAUGAAGACCAUUGAUGCCCAACUAGAAGAUUAGUGAGGAUUGGCUUCAUUAUAAUCUUAUUGAGAGCAAAUUUCUGAAUGAUUGAAACUAUCAAGAAAUUCGGCCCCAUUAUAAUUACAUAACACAACUUUUAACACCCUCCAUUGCAUGUAAUUCAAAUCUUAAAUGUAAUGCAUUAAAUUGUGGAAGUAAUCACAUCAUACACACAACUAUAUUAGUAUAAGAAAAGGACAAAAAUAUAAAGUGAGGCAUAUCGAUAAUAGAGUGAAUCUCACAUUUGAGCUUGUAUCAUGUAUUCUAACAUCAUGUCGGACGAACCAAUUUUUUGGGGAUUGAACAUGUUAUUAUUCAAUUCUAAACAUUUUAUCUUCAAUCAAUUGAAUUAUAAACCUUUUAACCAAGAUUUGAUUGAGUCCUAAUGUUGUCAUCAAGAACUAUUGAAUUUUUUUUUACCUUUUUCAUGUUGCAAACUAAUCAUGAUUUUAACCAUGAUUUUAACCAUAAUCGAGGAAUUUAUGUAUAUAUUUUGUCCAACAUUGAUAAAAGAAUCUCCUUCUAAGAAUUAAUCAAAAACAUAAAUAAAAAAACAUGAAUUUAUGCUUCAUAAGAAUUCCCAAUAAUUUAUUUUUUGAGAAGGUUGAAAUUUUUCGGAGUUCUAUUUGCUUAUCAAAGGUUCAAAUUGAACCAAAAAAAAAAUGUAAAAUAAAGAUAUUUAGGGCUUAUUCGGUAACAUCUUCAUUUCUCCUUUUUUCGGUUCUAGUUUUUUUGUUUCUUGGAAUAAAAAGGAACAAAAAUUUGUUUGUGUACAUUGGUAAAUUUUUUUAUUCCCCUAAAUAGAUCAAUGGCCAUGGAAAAGAUUUGAUACAAGAAUAAAAAUUAGAAAAUAUCUACUUUUGUGGUCCCAGGAACCAAAAAAGAAAAUAAUGUUAUUUUAGAAAAACAAGUUCAGCGUGAUCUGAUGCUUAUCUUUACAUAAUCGUCAUAAGAUCCAAGUGAGAUUUACAUAUGGACCGAGUCUUGUCACUCAAUUCGAGUCCCCAAUUUUGAAAUAAAAAAUAAAAAAUUCAGAAAUUAAGGAAAACAUUUUAAAUUUUGAUUUUGAGUAGUUUACUAGAUUUUAGUGCUAAUUCUAAUUUAGAAUUAGUUUAAACGUAAAAAAAAAUGUGAAAUAUUUUUUAUGAAAAUUGAAUCUUAAAUUCAAUUACCUCUUAGGGCUUUAUCAUAUGGAUUUUUAAAUGCCUUUUUCGGACAAUGGUAUGUUGUGACAGCUUGACGAUUUAGCUGGGGAUUUUUAAAUGCCUUUUUUUAAGGGAUAACAGAAUGUGGCGACAGCUUGACGAUUUCAUUGAGAGAAUACAUCUUCUUCCCUUAACAUUCUAUGAGAGACAUCCUUUAAUAUUAUCAACAAUUCUAUUUUAAUAGAAAAUUAGAUGGCUCUGAAUAAAUCUUUUGUAUUAUCAUUUGUCUUAUGUUCAUAAUAAUCGAAUAGGGCUAUGUUCCAUGGAUUUAUGAUAUCAUUUGCUUAAAGGUUUGAUGUUUUUGUACAAAUAAGUGCACCAACUUUAGGAUCACCCCCUUCUUAGUGGUUUCAUCCUUGCUCAUUCCACCGGGAAGAGUUUGCUCUUUUUCUUACCAUUCUUAUUGUGGAAAUAAUUUAUUUUUCAAUACACUAAUUACCUAAAACGCAAGAGAGAUGGAAUAUUGAAGAUAACAGACGCGCCCUACUAUGUUAGACCUCGAUCAAGGUCGUCUAUGGUCAUGAAGAGGUUGGGACCUUGAUCUAAGGUCAAGGUCAUCAAUGUCACGGGCUACCCAUGGCCUAGAGGAGGUUGGUGGCCUCGCCUUAAAGAUGGAGAGGGUUGAAUGAUGGCUGUAGUAUCCAAGAUGCGAAUGGCGAUCGGAAGUGGUCGAUCGCCGGCAAGAGGGGUGAAAGCUUAAUUAGGGUACCUAGAUUAGACUCGUUUAAUUAGGGUUUGUUUUGGAAGUCUAGGGACUAGAACAGAGGUUAUCUGAAGAAAAAAAAAACGAGGCUAUGUAUGAAUAAAUCUAAGUUGUUUUGCGAUCGAAUAUGCAAUUUGGUGUCCAACAUGAAACACAAGAUGCAAAAUGGUACUUUUGAAAGGAAAAUUAGGGGUUGCCUUCACAUUGCCACGUCGGGCCGCCAUCGCCGCAGCCGCUACCAUUGACCUUCACUAGGAAAAUUAACAGUGUGCAUUGGUUCCAAUCCAUUUGGAGAUUGAACCAGACUAGCUGGUUCUGGGUAAUCGGUUUGGCUCCUAGUUCCUAGGGAGGAACCAUAUCAACCAGAUCGGACCGAACCGGCAAAAACAACCCAUAUUAUUUUUAAUCUCUUUAUAGCAUAAACCAUUAAAAAGAAAAAAUUGAACGACAAAUUAUUGACUAAGCAGUACAUUCCUGGUUCCUUGUGAAUUUAUUUCAUUUUUUCAAUUUUCUCAAAGCAGAAACCAUAAAGAAAAUAAAAUAACACUGUUGGUUUCCGGGUGGACAAGGUCCGUCGCCAGUUCCAUUGACUGGGAACCAAUCCUAUCGGAUCUAAUUUCUUAUUUUAGGAUGAGAACCGACCCACCACAGAACUGAUUACUAGUAGGGCAAAUACAGGGUAAUGUUAUUAAAUUGCAACAACAUUGACAGAACAGACCGAAACACCACAGAGGACGAUCCAAAAUAGAAUGAUCUCCCUGUCUCCCUGUUCGAGUCAAUUUAAGUGCACUCAAUAUGUAAACAGCCUGAUAUGCAUUGGAUUACAGAUGACACCAUAAUGAAAAGGAAAUACAUAGCUAUCAUGGUAGUCACCUACAUUAACUUUCUCUUUUUACAAGAGUCAAGAUCACAUCUCCAGCCAAUAUUUUCUCGUAGAAGUGUCAAGAUCACAUCUCCCGGACAUGCAUCCCCAUAUGAACAGCUUUACAGAGACAAGUGCUCUAAAGUUGGUUGAUCUUAUAAUUCCUAGAAGAGUCAGGACUUGCAGGUUUGCAUUAUUCUUUGACAUCUGCAAAGGUUAGCUGUCUCGAAAGCAAGGAUUUUUCGUCGUCGUCAUCCAAGUCAAUACUUUCAUCCAUUCCGUCAU
rnacentral:lncRNA from 1 species